rnacentral:sRNA from 1 species
UGGCACUGUGGAUUUUCGGGUCCGCAUG